ACGGAAGGCAGCAGUGAGGAAUAUUGGUCAAUGGAGGCAACUCUGAACCAGCCAUCUCGCGUGAAGGAAUACGGCCCUACGGGUCUUAAACUUCUUUUAUAGGGGGAUAAAGUGAGGCAUGCAUGCCUUUUUGUAGGUACCCUAUGAAUAAGCAUCGGCUAACUCCGUGCCAGCAGCCGCGGUAAUACGGAGGAUGCGAGCGUUAUCCGGAUUUAUUGGGUUUAAAGGGUGCGCAGGCGGCACGUUAAGUCAGCGGUGAAAUGCAGGGGCUCAACCCCGGCACUGCCGUUGAAACUGGCGAGCUCGAGUACGGAUGAAGUCGGCGGAAUGUGAUGUGUAGCGGUGAAAUGCAUAGAUAUGUCACAGAACACCGAUUGCGAAGGCAGCCGGCCAAUCCGCAACUGACGCUCAUGCACGAAAGCGUGGGGAUCGAACAGGAUUAGAUACCCUGGUA
rnacentral:rRNA from 1 species